UAAAGUAGCAGAUUGAAAAAGGGGGUGAGCCAGCAGUUAGGAGCCAUGUACCAGAUGUCAGCACCUACCAGUCGAGGGAUUGUCAUUUUUAAGGCGGGGGCAACUGAAGGUCAUCCGUCACUUAUACUUGGGAAUGAUGGCACCCCUACAUCGCUGCAACCAAGACAAGCAACCACCGAAAAUAAUGGAAGGAAUUUAGUCACUUCUACAACUGCAAUGGCCACAUCAAAAUGCCUACUUGUACUUUCAAAUGACAAAAUGAGGAAAAGUA